AGCCAUCUAAUAUGACUUCUGAAGAUUGCUGGAAUAACACACACGAAUCAUAAGGACUGUAGCUGUGGUACUUUCAUUUGCUUUUUGGUGCUUGACAGACACAAGUAUCGUCUGUUCCCUCAUCCACUUGUUUCGUGAAUGAAAACAUUAUGGCUGACACAAAUAAAGAUAUGUGCCCUUCUAUAAGAGGAAAGCCAAGGAAAGAAAACCUGAGCCCUGAGGACAGAGCAAGGUCAGAUCGGAUAAAACCAGAAACAUCCAUACAGAGAGUCCUCAUCAAUGGACCAGACACCAGUGAAAGAAAAACAUUACAGUUCACUUGCCUUUACACAGCUAGAGUUCUUUAAAACUGUGUUCAGCUAUGUUCAAGGAGGUAGUGAACAUUUUAGAUAAUAUCCUUUAAAACAUUGAUACUUUCUUUACGUAGGCAUUAUAUCCAACAUUAAUCUAUCUACAUAUUGUUUCCAAUUGUUUGAUCACUUUAGAGAUUAAAAUUUUAUUAUUAUUAUUAUUUAUUUAUUUAUUUAUUUAUUUUUUCAAACGGUUUGUUAGUAGCAAGUUCUAAAAAUGACAUUUAAUUUAAGUUGGUUUAAAUGUCAAUUUGGAGCUCAGAGAUAAUAUAUAGCCAUCUGGGCCAUGGUUCAAGUAAUUUUCGACAGCAUGCAUUGUGUUAAUUUGAUCACAUUUUUGUACACGACUAUUGCCCCUUGAACUUAUUAAUGCUGAUUUUAUAUUUUAAUGAGUGCUACUCCUCAUGCAGUGUCCACUCUAUAGUACGUGAUGUGAAUGUGAGUUGCUGGUAGUGUUGUGAUUCUAACCAAAGGUAGUCAAUGACUCGGGCCAUUAUUUUCACAAUUGGGAAAGAAACAAAAGGAGA
ensembl:lncRNA